CGAUCCUAGCUGUUUGAGAGAAGAUCAGCCCAUUGGGACUGAGCACGGCCCGAAUUCUUCGGAGGCAGCAGUGGGAAUAUUGACAAUGGGGGCAACCCUGAUCCAGCCAUGCCGCGUGGUGAAGAAGGCCUUCGGGUUGUAAAGCACUUUCAGCGAGGAAGAAGGCCUGGUGGCCAAUACCCACCAGGAAGGACAUCACUCGCAGAAGAAGCACCGGCUAACUCCGUGCCAGCAGCCGCGGUAAUACGGAGGGUGCGAGCGUUAAUCGGAAUUACUGGGCGUAAAGCGCGCGUAGGUGGCUUGAUAAGCCGGUUGUGAAAGCCCUGGGCUCAACCUGGGAACGGCAUCCGGAACUGUCAGGCUAGAGUGCAGGAGAGGAAGGUAGAAUUCCCGGUGUAGCGGUGAAAUGCGUAGAGAUCGGGAGGAAUACCAGUGGCGAAGGCGGCCUUCUGGACUGACACUGACACUGAGGUGCGAAAGCGUGGGUAGCAAACAGGAUUAGAUACCCUGGUAGUCCACGCCGUAAACGAUGUCGACUAGCCGUUGGGUCCCUCGCGGACUUUGUGGCGCAGUUAACGCGAUAAGUCGACCGCCUGGGGAGUACGGCCGCAAGGUUAAAACUCAAAUGAAUUGACGGGGGCCCGCACAAGCGGUGGAGCAUGUGGUUUAAUUCGAUGCAACGCGAAGAACCUUACCUACCCUUGACAUCCUGCGAACUUGGUAGAGAUACCUUGGUGCCUUCGGGAGCGCAGAGACAGGUGCUGCAUGGCUGUCGUCAGCUCGUGUUGUGAAAUGUUGGGUUAAGUCCCGUAACGAGCGCAACCCUUGUCCUUAUUUGCCAGCGGGUAAUGCCGGGAACUCUAAGGAGACUGCCGGUGACAAACCGGAGGAAGGUGGGGACGACGUCAAGUCAUCAUGGCCCUUACGGGUAGGGCUACACACGUGCUACAAUGGUCAGUACAAAGGGUUGCCAACUCGCGAGAGUGCGCUAAUCCCAUAAAGCUGAUCUCAGUCCGGAUCGGAGUCUGCAACUCGACUCCGUGAAGUCGGAAUCGCUAGUAAUCGUGAAUCAGAAUGUCACGGUGAAUACGUUCCCGGGCCUUGUACACACCGCCCGUCACACCAUGGGAGUGGACUGCACCAGAAGUGGUUAGCUCUAACAUUCGGGAGCGCGAUCACCCAGUAGAGUGUUCACCCC
rnacentral:rRNA from 1 species